ACAAAGAUUUUUCCCUCUGGCCUGUCAGCAUAUUCAUAUGCGAAGAUAACGCGUGAUUGUUGAUAGCUGACAGGCAGUACAAUGAACAGAAGUCAAUCUAAUUUGUCUACAAAAAUAACAGCAAAUGACCGUGCUAAACAAUUACCAAGUGUUUUUGGAAAUGAGAGAAAGUCAACAAUCAACAGUCACUUCGAAUCAGCAAAGCAUAUGAGCAUGUCAGAACAGUCCCCAUGACUGAAGUGGUAGCAGGGAAGAAGACUGUGGCAAGCGCUGAAAGAAUCAAGCUGCCCUCCUCAGGCCACAAUUGACCAGACUAGGACCAGCAAACUGCCAACCACCUGGCGCAGACCAGACAGCAGAGUCACCACAAGAACUAGACGAGAGGAGACCGGAACAGACCAAAAAACCACCAACACCCAGCUGAACAAGAUGACCUAGAUGAUCCCAUGAGCAAUGUGACGUGGUAAGGCUAACGCUAAUCCCAAACGAGGAGGCUGCCGAGGACAGAGCCGCCAAUCACCUGGGAGCAGCAACAACUACUACCACCAGACCUGAAAACAGUACCCACCUGGAAUUCAGCAGGGUAGUUCUCCAGAGAUGUAUGGGCUUUUCUCAGAGCAUACCUUCUCACCAAAACAGAAUCCAAGAACCAGAACCGGGAACCAUUCAUCACCACACCAGAAGAGGCGCGGAGGAAGGACCAACUCUCUAGACCAAUGCACGGAUCGAGCAGACCACAGGGGAGUCCCAUCACUGACCUCUGAGUCUUGUGCUUCUAGGUGUGUCUGCUCGCUCCGAAGGUUUCCUUCCUCCCCUCUGCAGAUCCAACACUAGUCCCAGCACCAAUCCAGAUCCCAAUGGCCAGUCCCAGGAACAGACCACCAGACCAGGCGCGAAGGAGGGACCAAAGAUCAAAUCUUCACCUGGAGUGAGCUGGCCACAGGACCCAGAUCCAGCACCUGCAGUAGUCCCGGUUCCUGGUUCCCGGUUCCUGUUUUUUACAUUUACAUACAUUUAAG